GCAGCAGUGGGGAAUAUUGCACAAUGGGCGAAAGCCUGAUGCAGCCAUGCCGCGUGUGUGAAGAAGGCCUUAGGGUUGUAAGGCACUUUCAGUAGGGAGGAAAGGUUACGUGUUAAUAGCACGUAGCUGUGACGUUACCUACAGAAGAAGGACCGGCUAACUCCGUGCCAGCAGCCGCGGUAAUACGGAGGGUCCGAGCGUUAAUCGGAAUUACUGGGCGUAAAGCGUACGUAGGUGGUUUGUUAAGUUGGAUGUGAAAGCCCAGGGCUCAACCUUGGAACUGCAUUCAAAACUGGCGAACUAGAGUAUGGUAGAGGUGAGUGGAAUUCCCUGUGUAGCGGUGAAAUGCGUAGAGAUGGGGAGGAACAUCAGUGGCGAAGGCGACUCACUGGACCAAUACUGACACUGAGGUACGAAAGCGUGGGUAGCAAACAGGAUUNGAUACCCUGGUAGUCCACGCCGUAAACAUGUCUACUACCCGUUGGGGGUCCUUGAGACUUUAGUGGCGCACUAACGCNCUAANUAAAACCGCCUGGGGGANUUACGGGNCNCAANAAUUAAAAACUCAAAGGAAUUGGNCGGGGGAAAUUCNAAUU
rnacentral:rRNA from 1 species